rnacentral:rRNA from 1 species
GAUGAACGCUGGCGGCGUGCCUAAUACAUGCAAGUCGAACGCUUUGUGGUUCAACUGAUUUGAAGAGCUUGCUCAGAUAUGACGAUGGACAUUGCAAAGAGUGGCGAACGGGUGAGUAACACGUGGGAAACCUACCUCUUAGCAGGGGAUAACAUUUGGAAACAGAUGCUAAUACCGUAUAACAAUGACAACCGCAUGGUUGUUAUUUAAAAGAUGGUUCUGCUAUCACUAAGAGAUGGUCCCGCGGUGCAUUAGCUAGUUGGUAAGGUAAUGGCUUACCAAGGCGAUGAUGCAUAGCCGAGUUGAGAGACUGAUCGGCCACAAUGGGACUGAGACACGGCCCAUACUCCUACGGGAGGCAGCAGUAGGGAAUCUUCCACAAUGGGCGAAAGCCUGAUGGAGCAACGCCGCGUGUGUGAUGUAGGGUUUCGGCUCGUAAAACACUGUUGUAAGAGAAGAAUGACAUUGAGAGUAACUGUUCAAUGUGUGACGGUAUCUUACCAGAAAGGAACGGCUAAAUACGUGCCAGCAGCCGCGGUAAUACGUAUGUUCCAAGCGUUAUCCGGAUUUAUUGGGCGUAAAGCGAGCGCAGACGGUUAUUUAAGUCUGAAGUGAAAGCCCUCAGCUCAACUGAGGAAUUGCUUUGGAAACUGGAUGACUUGAGUGCAGUAGAGGAAAGUGGAACUCCAUGUGUAGCGGUGAAAUGCGUAGAUAUAUGGAAGAACACCAGUGGCGAAGGCGGCUUUCUGGACUGUAACUGACGUUGAGGCUCGAAAGUGUGGGUAGCAAACAGGAUUAGAUACCCUGGUAGUCCACACCGUAAACGAUGAGUGCUAGGUGUUUGAGGGUUUCCGCCCUUAAGUGCCGCAGCUAACGCAUUAAGCACUCCGCCUGGGGAGUACGACCGCAAGGUUGAAACUCAAAGGAAUUGACGGGGACCCGCACAAGCGGUGGAGCAUGUGGUUUAAUUCGAAGCAACGCGAAGAACCUUACCAGGUCUUGACAUCCCUUGACAACUCCAGAGAUGGAGUGUUCCCUUCGGGGACAAGGUGACAGGUGGUGCAUGGUUGUCGUCAGCUCGUGUCGUGAGAUGUUGGGUUAAGUCCCGCAACGAGCGCAACCCUUAUUACUAGUUGCCAGCAUUCAGUUGGGCACUCUAGUGAGACUGCCGGUGACAGACCGGAGGAAGGUGGGGAUGACGUCAAAUCAUCAUGCCCCUUAUGACCUGGGCUACACACGUGCUACAAUGGCGUAUACAACGAGUUGCCAACCCGCGAGGGUGAGCUAAUCUCUUAAAGUACGUCUCAGUUCGGAUUGUAGGCUGCAACUCGCCUACAUGAAGUCGGAAUCGCUAGUAAUCGCGGAUCAGCACGCCGCGGUGAAUACGUUCCCGGGUCUUGUACACACCGCCCGUCACACCAUGAGAGUUUGUAACACCCAAAGCCGGUGGGGUAACCUUCGGGAGCCAGCCGUCUAAGGUGGGACAGAUGAUUAGGGUG